UGGACUUUGAUUUGUACUCUUAAACAGAGAAUAUAAAGAUGAUUUUCUGUCAUUUACAAACCCUAGCAGCCAUCAUUUGCACACAGAAAAACUCACUCUCUAAAAAUCUCAUUUUCUUGCCACUUUCAAAAUCUGUCAACAUUGGCCAAAGAACUGAACCUUGCCUUGCUUAAUACAACAUCCAUUCAUCAUUUUGAACCUGUUUUCAC
rnacentral:lncRNA from 1 species